rnacentral:rRNA from 1 species
UACGUAGGGUGCGAGCGUUGUCCGGAAUUAUUGGGCGUAAAGAGCUCGUAGGCGGUUUGUCGCGUCGGGAGUGAAAACAGCCGGGCCGUUAACUCGGGUGCUUGCUUUCGAUACGGGCAGACUAGAGGCAUGCAGGGGAGAACGGAAUUCCUGGUGUAGCGGUGAAAUGCGCAGAUAUCAGGAGGAACACCGGUGGCGAAGGCGGUUCUCUGGGCAUGUCCUGACGCUGAGGAGCGAAAGUGUGGGGAGCGAACAGG